ensembl:lncRNA
UUACCCGCCCGGUUUCACCACUGCCACACCCCCAUGGACUACUGGGCCCAGCCCCCAGGGGGCACCCAUCCCUACUUUUACCUCAUCCUCCUCCACCUCUAUCCCUCCGCUUCUCCCCAAAGAGUUGAUGCUGUAUCACAGAAGGAACAAAGAGAGGACCCCUCCUAGAGGAUCGUCGUACAAGCCAUCAUAUCAUUAUACUUCAAAGUCCCGUAGAUCCAAAUCUUCUCGAUCCUCCAGUAGGUCACCCUCGCAGUCCAGGUCUCACCAUAGAGCACGGCCUUAUUCCCCUCAGUCCAGUCACAGAAGCCUCUCCAGCCGCGCUCACUCUUCUCAUUCACACAGCCGCAGCUACAAACGCUCUCACUCGCCAACCCCGACAUCACCUCAGAGGUCGCGUUCUCAGCGGAGGCUAAAAUCUCCAGAUCACCACAAGAGCCGCCAUCAUGACCACCGUCGCACAGACACAUCCUCUCCCAGCAGCAGCUGCCGCCGCAGCAGCAGCAGCUCAAAGAGAAAGGAAAGCUCACAUAGGUCAAGAGAAGCCCAGGAAUGGAGCUUAGACAUGUACCUGCGCUGGAAGCAAGAGUACAAAGACUGGUGCGAGAAGUAUUUUAACAGCUACUUCAGCCACUUUCACCAGAUGCCCCCUCCACCGCUCAUGCCCCCUGCACAGCCCCAGUGGCCCCCUCUCUCUCCCUACCACCACAGGGGGCGAUCACCUCCCUCUAGUGACAGUCUAACUUCACAGUCCCAAUCUGAAAGAAGCUCGAGCAACAGCCACAGCCAUUCCUCUUCAUCUUCCAGCGACAGCCACUCAACUCCCUCACAAUCGCUUAGUGACAGCAAUUCCCCUCUGAGCGAUAACUGCUCCCGGGCAUCUCAGGAGCCACUGAACGCGUCUCACCACAGGGACAAGGAUGAGAACCAAAACAAGACGAGGGAAUUUAGGAAGCAAGACACUGAAGACUGUCUGAAGUUGCCCCUUAAAAAGACGGAUAAACGUAUAAAGAGUAAAGGUGAAGAUAAAAAGAUAAAAGAUCAAAAAGCGUUAGAUAAAAAGAAGGAUAGAAGGAGGCAUGAAGGGACGCAGCGAGGUAGGAGCAGACAACCUGGACGCAGCUGCUCACCAGACUCGAGGUCGGACAAGAGCAGAAAGCGGAAAACUGAGGAAACUCUGAAAAAUCAAAGGCAAAAUAUUCUCAUCCAGCCCUCCUCGACUUCGGACCUGUUCCCCAAAGUGUUUGAAAGGGAAAAGCCGAAGAAAGCAGCGUGGAAGCCUCAGCCACUCACAGCAGAGAACGCGUGGGAAGGCGGUGUGAAUGUGAAAACGCCGCAAAAAAUCAACAUUAACAUCAAACUGGACGUCAAAAAGAAUGAGGAGGAAAAGAAAACGAUUAAAGAAGUUGAAGGUCGCACAAAAGAGAAUCCAUUUUACAAACUGAUAGAGGAGGCUGUUAAUAAACCUAAGAAUGAGGCUGAAAAGCAGGUAAUUCCAGAUAAAGAAAUGAGGGAUGUGAAAAACGACUCAUGGGAGAUCUUUCCAGAAGAGGAGGCCAUCAGAGAAGAGGAUUCAGACUUGUGGCACUGCGCUCUGACAUCUGUAGAGGAGGCAGAGGGGAAAGAGAAGGAGGUGAAGGAGACGGAGGAGAAGAAACCUCAGGAACAAGAAGAUCUCCCAGACUCUGAGAGGGACCAGGAUGAGAAACCAAGAAUGUCCAAGGACCCUGGCAGGUCACCCACUCCAGACAGGAAAAAUGUGGAUCAGAGAAAGAACUGCAAGCAAACGUUUCCUCAAAUUUCAGGGAGGUAAAGGGAAGAACAAAAAGGUUAGUAGAAGUAGAUAAUGCAGAGGAGACAGAUAACAGUGCUAGUUUAGAUGGUGCAGGUGCGCCCUCUAAUGGCCAAGAAGUAACUGACAGCAGCUUUGAUUUUGACAGAAAGAGAAAGAGAAGGAGAGAGAAAGAGAGCGAGGGCAGAAAGAGAGAAGAAGGCAGCCACCAAAAAGAAAGGGAAACCACUAGCACUUUUUAUAGCAAAUCCUCAAAUUGUUCGAGCCAAGCAUUUACCUCAGUUUUAGAUUACGAGAAAUCUAGUAAAUGUAGAGAGUCAGGUGAAAACAGGAGCAGAGAGGGCACAUCACGCAAAAUCUAUAUGGAUCUAGACAAAGUGUGGAGAGGUAACUGUGACAAGUCAACUUCUUCAUCAAGAUCCUACCAGCACAACAGCCACCAAGACCCAAACAUUCACCACAACUGGACCUCACUACACUCUCAACCUCACAGUGGGGAAAAAGGCCAAGUCUCUUCAAAAACAUCUACAGAAAGCAAUCCUGGACAAAACUGGACGUGCACAAGCCAAUGCCUGGCCACACCCAUCGCCCAGUCGAGUCUAGACACGGAGGAAAAGAAGGAAGGAGUGAAUACUGAAAGAAUAGAGGAGAGGGAAAGACAUGUAUAUGCAGAAACGUCAUUCUACAGUACAAACGAAAAUGAAUGGAAAAAAGACAAGAAGAGACAUAAAAAGGAGAAGAGACACGCCAGUCCUGAUGAAGGGAAGAAGUUGAAGAAGAAGAGAAACAAAGAUGGAGGACUUUAGUAAAGAGAAUGUUGGAUAAACAUACUUGAAUUGUGUUUUCUUUGACAAGUGCCUAUUAUUUUUUGCCUUAAUUUCUUGUUCUGCCUUAACAUAGUAAUAUAGUAAUAUAGCUUAUGCUGCAUCACACUGGGACAAAGCACUUUUAACUUCAUGAAAAUGUGACUGAAAUCAAAGGGGAAAUCUCUUAGAAAGAAAUUUGCACAUGAUUACAACCUGCUGUAAGGUCGAUUCAAGACAAGUCUGACAAGAGAUUGUGUGAUUCUUUGCCUCAGGUGCAUUCUUAAGAUAUUAUUGAUUUGCAAUGACUUGAAAAGAGUGAAUAUUCAAAUGACGAAUAUAAAUCUUUUGUUUAUGUAUUUUCAUUUUGUAAAUGUAAAACAAACACUCAAGCUGCUGGGUAGAUAUAAUUUGCCAAAAAUGUUUUCCUGUUUUGAAGGAAAUAAAAAAUCCUAC